rnacentral:rRNA from 1 species
GACGAACGCUGGCGGCGUGCUUAACACAUGCAAGUCGAACGGAAAGGCCCUGCUUUUGUGGGGUGCUCGAGUGGCGAACGGGUGAGUAACACGUGAGUAACCUGCCCUUGACUUUGGGAUAACUUCAGGAAACCGGGGCUAAUACCGGAUAGGAGCUCCUGCUGCAUGGUGGGGGUUGGAAAGUUUCGGCGGUUGGGGAUGGACUCGCGGCUUAUCAGCUUGUUGGUGGGGUAGUGGCUUACCAAGGCUUUGACGGGUAGCCGGCCUGAGAGGGUGACCGGCCACAUUGGGACUGAGAUACGGCCCAGACUCCUACGGGAGGCAGCAGUGGGGAAUAUUGCACAAUGGGCGGAAGCCUGAUGCAGCAACGCCGCAUGCGGGAUGACGGCCUUCGGGUUGUAAACCGCUUUCGCCUGUGACGAAGCGUGAGUGACGGUAAUGGGUAAAGAAGCACCGGCUAACUACGUG